UCACCCGGCUCGGCCGGGUGGAGGCCAGUAAGGAGCAUUACUGAGUGAGGGCCCUCUGGGUCCAACCUCCCACCCGUGUUUAUUGUACCUUGUUGCUUCGGUGCGCCCGCCUCACGGCCGCCGGGGGGCUUCUGCCCCCGGGUCCGCGCGCACCGGAGACACCAUUGAACUCUGUCUGAAGAUUGCAGUCUGAGCAUAAACUAAAUAAGUUAAAACUUUCAACAACGGAUCUCUUGGUUCCGGCAUCGAUGAAGAACGCAGCGAAAUGCGAUAACUAAUGUGAAUUGCAGAAUUCAGUGAAUCAUCGAGUCUUUGAACGCACAUUGCGCCCCCUGGUAUUCCGGGGGGCAUGCCUGUCCGAGCGUCAUUGCUGCCCUCAAGCAUGGCUUGUGUGUUGGGCUCCGUCCCCCCGGGGACGGGUCCGAAAGGCAGCGGCGGCACCGAGUCCGGUCCUCGAGCGUAUGGGGCUUUGUCACCCGCUCUGUAGGCCCGGCCGGCGCCAGCCGACAACCAAUCAUCCUUUUUUCAGGUUGACCUCGGAUCAGGUAGGGAUACCCGCUGAACUUAAGCAUAUCAAUAAGGCGGAGGAA
rnacentral:rRNA from 1 species